rnacentral:lncRNA from 1 species
AGGCAGCGGUGGUGGCGCGGCUGGGAGCAGCGUCACCAACGAUCGCCGAGGAGGAGAGGUCGAGCGGCUGCGCUGCGACGCAAGGGGAGGCGGGCGGCGGCAGUAGGGCAAGGAUGGACGCUGGCAGCGUCGUCUCGUGGCCGGGGAACAGCGGCGGCGGCGGUCGCCGGCCGGGAAGCGGGGCGAUGGUGGGCGCUGGCCGG